AGGACCGGGGUCCCGCGGCGCAUCCCGCCCGGCCCGCCCUGCGGGCAACGACUCAGAGGCGGCCGCGCUCGGAGUGGGAGAGGUCGAGGCCGGUAGCUAGUAAAGCUCAGAGUAGCCGGCUACCCGGGGCCGGUCCUCCGCGACCGCGAUUCUGCUGCUUUGCCCCGCGCCGGCCGAGUCCUCGUCGCGGCCCAACCCUAUUGUACCGCCCGGGCUGGGCCUGGCCUCUGUGAAUGUACCAAGUGCGCGGGGGACGACCGCCCCCGCAGUUAUGGAGUACGGAGCCACAGCGGGCAGCACCAGAGGGCUCCGACUCCGCCCUGCGAUGCAGCACGGAGAAACUCGGGACGCUCCUUCUGUGGUCGCCGCAGGGCAGACGCCGAGCUGGGGGCACGCUGCCGGCCACGCUGCCUCCCCCUGCGGCCGCGGGUUGCACCCCAAGCCCAGCAAUUGAGAAUUAACAGAUUUACGAGGGCUGGAGAGAUGGCUCAGUGGUCAAGAGCACUGACUGCUCUUCCAGAGGUCCUGAGUUCAAUUCCCAGCAACCACAUGGUGGCUCACAACCAUCUGUACCUCUUCUGGUGUGUCUGAAGACAGCAUAAAUAAAACAAACAAAAAUAA